rfam:Caenorhabditis japonica strain DF5081 Contig16068.1, whole genome shotgun sequence.
UACCUGAUUGAUUCUGUCAGCGCGAUAUGCUCAAGUAAAAGAUUAAGCCAUGCAUGCUUUGAUUCAUAAAUGAAAUUGCGUACGGCUCAUUAGAGCAGAUAUCACCUUUCUCGGAAUCCUGAAAAGGAUAACUGCGGAAAUUCUGGAGCUAAUACAUGCGACUAUACUCCAACGCAAGGCGGGGUGCAAUUAUUAGAACAGACCAAACGUUUUCGGACGUUGUUUGUUGACUCUGAAUACCGUCGUUUACUGUCUAGUUUCGACUGACUCUAUCCGAGAAGGGUGUCUGCCCUUUCAACUAGAUGGUAAUCUAUUGGACUACCAUGGUUGUUACGGGUAACGGAGAAUUAGGGUUCGACUCCGGAGAGGGAGCCUUAGAAACGGCUACCACGUCCAAGGAAGGCAGCAGGCGCGAAACUUAUCCACUGUUGAGUAUGAGAUAGUGACUAAAAAUAUAAAGACUCAUCCUUUUGGAUGAGUUAUUUCAAUGAGUUGAAUAUAAAUUAUUCUUCGAGUAGCAAGGAGAGGGCAAGUCUGGUGCCAGCAGCCGCGGUAAUUCCAGCUCUCCUAGUGUAUCUCGUUAUUGCUGCGGUUAAAAAGCUCGUAGUUGGAUCUAGGUUACGUGCCGCAGUUCGCAAUUUGCGUUAACUGUGGUCGUGACUUCUAAUUUGCUGGUUUGAGGUUGGGUUCGCCCUUCAACUGCCAGCAGGUUUACCUUGAAUAAAUCAGAGUGCUCAAUACAGGCGCUUGCUUGAAUAGCUCAUCAUGGAAUAAUGAAACAGGACUUCGGUUCUUUUUGUUGGUUCUAGAAUUGAUCUAAUGGUUAAGAGGGACAAACCGGGGGCAUUCGUAUCAUUACGCGAGAGGUGAAAUUCGUGGACCGUAGUGAGACGCCCAAUAGCGAAAGCAUUUGCCAAGAAUGUCUUCAUUAAUCAAGAACGAAAGUCAGAGGUUCGAAGGCGAUUAGAUACCGCCCUAGUUCUGACCGUAAACGAUGCCAUCUCGCGAUUCGGAGGGUUCAUGCCCUACCGAGGAGCUACCCGGAAACGAAAGUCUUUCGGUUCCGGGGGUAGUAUGGUUGCAAAGCUGAAACUUAAAGAAAUUGACGGAAGGGCACCACAAGGCGUGGAGCUUGCGGCUUAAUUUGACUCAACACGGGAAAACUCACCCGGUCCGGACACUAUUAGGACUGACAGAUUGAAAGCUCUUUCUCGAUUUGGUGGUUGGUGGUGCAUGGCCGUUCUUAGUUGGUGGAGUGAUUUGUCUGGUUUAUUCCGAUAACGAGCGAGACUCUAGCCUGCUAAAUAGUCGACGAAUCUUCGGGUUCGUAUAACUUCUUAGAGGGAUAAGCGGUGUUUAGCCGCACGAGAUUGAGCGAUAACAGGUCUGUGAUGCCCUUAGAUGUCCGGGGCUGCACGCGUGCUACACUGGUGGAGUCAGCGGGUUUUUCCUAUGCCGAAAGGUAUCGGUAAACCGUUGAACUUCUUCCAUGUCCGGGAUAGGGUAUUGUAAUUAUUACCCUUAAACGAGGAAUGCCUAGUAAGUGUGAGUCAUCAGCUCACGUUGAUUACGUCCCUGCCCUUUGUACACACCGCCCGUCGCUAUCCGGGACUGAACUGAUUCGAGAAGAGUGGGGACUGUGGCUGCGAGGUUUUACCACUUCGCAGUUGCGGAAACCAUUUUUAUCGCAUUGGUUUGAACCGGGUAAAAGUCGUAACAAGGUAGCUGUAGGUGAACCUGCAGCUGGAUCAUCG